CCUGAAUAACAAUGGCUUGAUUUAGAUUUCCUAGUAAAUCUAUUCAAAAGUGAAACAAAGACGGCCUUUACAGGAUACCUUACAUUUCACCUGGGCCGGGCACCGCGAGGGCAAUUCAGAUAAAAAUCUUGUUAGUAACUCCACAAGAAAUAGAGGAUUUUCUCUUUUCCCUGGUUCAGGCUUUAUUUAAACUCUUUGUUCAAAAAAAUGAACAGAGUGAUAGUAGGACUCUAAUUUACAGAUAUAGCUUAGAUGCAUCUAAUAUUAAAUUAGAAGAUCGCACAAGAAAAUCAUUUACACAUAAAAGUUAAAAGCAAUAUUUAAACUUUUAAAACUUUAUCUUACAUAAAGCCAAAAUGAAACUAAAUACAUGUUAGCAACUUCAUUCACAAACAUUAGUCAAAAUAUAUACACUUAAAAAGAAAAAAAGCUAUAAUUUGAGGAAGGUUUUUUUUUCUAAAAUGUAUUUUAUUAUAAUUUGCAAGUGAAUUGCGGGCUAUCUGGAAAAUAAGCUAAUGGGAAAGUGAGCUCUGAAAACCACAUGGAAACAGUUCAGUCUGGGAGGGGAAUGCUAGUUGACAAUGAGAGGCAGCUUUCAAAAACAACUCUGUGCUUUCAGUCAUUUUUUUCUCCAGUUUUGAUAAGUAAUAAAUAUAUAAUUACGACUCAGACAAAAAGUCUGAUUUAUAUCUUAGAUAAAAUCGCGAUUCUGAAAUAGUUCCGCAAUUCUUAAAAGUUAACUUUGACAUUUGCUCAACGUGUGUUUUUGAGCCAAGAACCGACUCAAAUUUAGGGCAACAAGAAUAACACAUUUUCCAAGACUCAAUGUUUUCACUGACAUACACACAUUUACAGUCUUCAUGUGAACUCAGCCAUGAGGGGAAAAUAGCAAGCGAGCUUUCUACGUUUUUGUAAACUGCAUCACAAGUCCAAGCCAGCGGACUCAGGGAGACUUCUAGUAGGUUUUCCAGGGGUAGAAUAUCCAACUGACAACUUCCACCCCACACGUAUUCCUUUGCAUUUCUUGUUCUUGGGGAAGAAGGAGAAGAAGCAAAAAAGAGCUCCUGCUUUGAUUUGCAUACGGGAUGAAACAAAAGAACCGGUGGUCAUCUCUCAUAUAAAGGCCCGAUUCGAGCCCGUCACUGGUCAGGAGUAGAUCCGGUGUGAGGGUCUGCAGAGCUCUGCAGAGUUCAGACAAUACACCCAGAGGACGGCUGCCCAGAGCCACCCUACUCUAAGAAGCUAAGGACAGGCCAUCAACUCCCCUUUGCCAGCUAUUUCAGACCUAACAUCAGAACCGGGUGCAUGCAACGCAGACCGAGGAAGACCGGGGGAGGAAAGAUGAGACUCAAAACAGCAAAACUCCAACCAACCAAACUGGAAAGCCCACCAGGUCGUGAAAUUUCUCCUUCCACCCCCGUGGGUCAAAACGCAACAGGUUCCCAAGUGCAAAGCAAACACCGAGCUGAACUGGCUCACACAACCUCCCUCUUAAAGUUGGCCGCAUGCACAAGUGCGGCUGGGAAGCGAUCCUAGAAUCCACACGCACUGCUCGCUCGCCCGCUCGCCCGCCCGCCCGCUCGCCCCCUCGAGCCCGGCUGGCACCUCCGCCUGACACCUUUACAACUCUGUACAUACAAACCGGGCCCCCAGUCGCCCGAGGGCGCACCGGAAGGCCGCGAGUCCCGCACCUAUACAUAUGUACAUGCGUGCGCUCAGGUCCUCGCGGGUCGGCCCCGCGGGGUCAUAGCGCGGCGGCGUAGGCCGCGGGGUAGGGGUCCAGCUGAGGCUUGCCCAUGCCCGGCAGCAGGAUGUAGGCGAGCGGCGGCUGCAGCCCCGGGCUGGGCCACGCGCUGCAGUUGCACGGGAUCAUGUAGCCCGGGUUGCCUGGGCUGGGGUGCGAAUGCGUGUGCCCCCCGGCGGCCGCUGCGGCCGCUGCAGCCGCCGCCGCCGCCCCGUGGAAGGCGCCCGCGCCCGCGGUGGGGUACCCGAGCGACGACGCGUACGGCAGGCCGGACGACGACGACGAGAUCUCUGCCAUCUUGGAGCCCAGGUCGAGCAGCGAGUAGGGGCUGCCGCGGCGGCGGCGGCAGCGGCGGCGGCGGCGGCGGCCGACUGCGGGAAGAAGACGCGCGCGGCGGCGGCGGCGGCGGCGGCGGCCGCCUUCUCGGGGUUCGCGAGCAGAGACUCGGGGACCAGGCCUGCGCCCGCGCCUGCGUGCAGCCCGCCUCCCGCCUUGAGCGCCGGGUGCUCGGCGUCCGCCACGCCGCCCAGGCCGUAAGGCACCGGGAAGGCGAACUUGUCCUUCUUGAGCAGCGUCUUGGGCUUGCGCCGCGGCCGGUACUUGUAGUCGGGAUGCUCCUUCAUGUGCAUGGCUCGCAGGCGCUUCGCCUCGUCUAUGAACGGCCUCUUCUCCGACUCGGUGAGCAGCUUCCACUCGGCGCCCAGGCGCUUGCUGAUCUCCGAGUUGUGCAUCUUGGGGUUCUCCUGGGCCAUCUUUCGCCGCUGAGCCCGCGACCACACCAUAAAGGCGUUCAUGGGUCGCUUGACGUGGUCCACCGGCUUGGACAUGCUGUCGCCGUGCCGCGGCUGCAGCCCGCCGCCGCCGCCGCCGCCGCCGCCCGGGCCCUCGGCCUCCGCACGGAGGAAAUCAAUGUUGGCCGCCAGCGGGGACCCGCUCAGCCGGCGACCGUGCGUCCAGGCGUCGCUCCCGCUCGGGAAGAGGGGAGCACAGGGCCAGCCCAGGGCCGGGGCGCUGCGUCCCGGGCCGCUUUGGUCUCUCUGGCCGAACUCUAGGAAAAACCCUCUCUGGGACCCUGGCACUUCUCGGCAGCGUCCCCACUCCGCGGUGGCGCUUUGGCCUCUGCUGUCGUUUUGUCCUUCUGUCCGGUUGCUUUUGCUCGCCAACUCCCUGCAGGUGGCCACUGCCUGGACCGGCUCUGCCCUCUCCUUGUUUUCAAUGCCCUAAAAUGCCAAGCAGCCACGAAAGCUGGGUGACGGAGGAUCCACCAAGUUGAGCCGAGGAGCUCGCCGCCGCGUGCUGCCAAGUGCCAAAGGGGGCUCUCGGCCGCUGGAGUGUUUGGGUUUUCCGCGGUGACUUUCUCAUUUGACAGAAGCAGAUGGGAGUGGGGGAGGGGUGGUCCCCCGAAGAGGAAGCGGAGGGGGAGGGUCUGGGCGCGCAGAGCACCGGGAUGGACAGAAACACAAACAGACCCCCGGCCGGUCUUCCCGAUAGGAGUCAGGGCGCGCAGAUGGACCCCCCCAACCCGAUAGCUUUGCUGAGGGCGGGCACUGUCUCCCCCCGACACCUGCCUGGAGACUCUCGCUCCCCGGCUUUCUCGCAGGAGAGGUGAGGAAAGAGGUGGGAUGAGGUUUCGAGCAAGCCUGAGUUGCCGGGUCUCAGUGGAAACUGUCCGGGCUCUCCGAAUCGCUACUCCGGGCUGUCCCCGGGGUCAUGCUUGCUCCGCUGGCUCCCAGCCCCUCCAGGCUCGCCCGCCGCCUCGGGCUCCAGGAGCACCCCAGGCGUGGAGGGCGGCGCCGUGCAGCGCGGCCGGCCUGGCCGGGGCGGCUUCUCCUCCAGUCUCGGGUCGUGGUAGCCAGACACACGCAACUAACUUCUUGCAAGUUUCCGGCCCGGGCUCAGCCGCGCCCCUCUCGGUGAGCGCGCCGCGAAGCGUGCGCCCGCGUGUCUGCCGCGGGAGAGCCCCUCUCUCCCGGCUUCUGCCGGGGCCGUGGGCUGGAUGGGUGCGGGACCCAGGUACCGGAGGAAGGGGAUUAAAGAAAACGCGCCAUCACCUCGGAUCGCAGGUCUGCGCCGGGGCCGCUCCUGCUUGCCCCUCUCGGGGCCCCUUCCGGGCCCAGGCCGUCGCUCUGCGGCUCCCCAGGUGGCUGGAGCCCUCGGUACCAGCUCAGGUGAGUGUCGCCACCUGCGAGUGUAGGCGCCGGCAGCGGGCGCUGGGUGAGCAUGUCCAGCCGCGGCUGUGUGUGAGUGUGUGUGUGUAUAUCCUGGGUGUGCGGAGGAGGAGGAGCCGGGGACUCCAGGAGGGAGGAGGGACCAGCGGAGUCUCCUCCCGCUCCCCCUCCC
ensembl:lncRNA